AUGCGUGAUCAGGUCGGCAUUGACCUGAACGGCUUCCCCCUCGACCACGAGUUCCCAGAUGACUACGGGCUAGAGGAAGAGGAUGAGUGCGACAUCGAAGUGGAGCCUUUGUUCGAGGACGAGCUCGCCAACCAAGCCGCCGGUCCUAAGCCGAAGCGCAAGAGCAAGCGCACGAAGGCGUACACAGCUGCCGAGGACAAGCUUCUUUGCGAGUGUUGGCGAGACAUUGGACAAGACCCCAAGACGGGCGCCGGGCAAAAGCAUUCAACCUUUUGGACUCGUGUCCACCGAGAGUUUCAUGAGCGCAAGAAGUUUCCACCUUACCAAUUUGUGAGCACGCGCGGGUGGGUCUCCAUUUCCAAGCGG
rnacentral:rRNA from 1 species